rnacentral:rRNA from 1 species
GUGACUAUAGCGGCGAGGUUCCACCUGUUCCCAUCUCGAACACAGUAGUUAAGCUCGUCAGCGCCGAUGAUACUCGGUGGGUGACUGCCCGGGAAAGCAGGACGUUGCCGGUU